AAAGAAAAGUUUAUUGGCUUGGCAAAAUAGGGGGGGUCAACAUCAAACAUAUUAGCGAGACCAUGUUCUCACAAGUCUUUGCCAGGCUUAUGCUCCCUCUCUUCACUUCCUUUCUGUCCUUCUUCCCUUCACUUGACCUAUAGUUCAAAUUCUUCCCACUUGUUUAUGUGGAGCAAUCGUGCUCUCCUCAGCCCCUGCUCCUGAACCUUUGCAUAGCUAACUUGACUUAAAUCACCAGAUUAAGUUCUUCGAUGAAGGCCAUCUUCUUCUCAUGGAGUGUGGGAGUUUCCAAUAUGUCCACAGAUUCUCUGAUCCUUCUUUCAAAGGGUGACACCAAAUCCCCCUCUCCCUUAGCGUGGGCUGAAUUUAGUGACUCACUUCCAACAAAUACAUGUGGCAGAAGUCAUGUGUGACUUCCCAGGUGAGCACAAAAAAGGCACUAUGACUUUCUUCUCACAGCUCAUGCACCCUGGGGCAAGCCAGCUGCUAUGUCACCAGGACACUCGAGCAGAUGCUGAAAUGGCAAGUCCAAAAAGCAAGAAGAUUUCUUAUGAAAUGCAAACAGUGGGGAACCAUUAAUUUUAAAGGUCUACCCAUUUCCCAAGGAGCCAAGAAGCCAUGCCUAGUCUUGAGGGUUUAAUCUACGUACACACAGGGGAAAGAUCUCUCCUAACCUACACCACUCACUGUCCUCCCAAGAGGCUUCAUGUGCCUUUCUUUUGAAAACUCGCAUUUUCCAUAGUUGCAAAAAUAACAAAUGCUCAGUGUACAAAACUAGGAAUACUUGAAAAAGCACAAAGAAAAUGGAAAAAUAAACACCGUAAUCCCA